rnacentral:rRNA from 1 species
AAUCUGGCCCUUGGGCCCGAGUUGUAAUUUGCAGAGGAUGCUUUUGGUGAGGUGCCUUCCGAGUUCCCUGGAACGGGACGCCUUAGAGGGUGAGAGCCCCGUACGGUUGGCCACCAAGCCUGUGUAAAGCUCCUUCGACGAGUCGAGUAGUUUGGGAAUGCUGCUCAAAAUGGGAGGUAUAUUUCUUCUAAAGCUAAAUACUGGCCAGAGACCGAUAGCGCACAAGUAGAGUGAUCGAAAGAUGAAAAGCACUUUGAAAAGAGGGUUAAAUAGCACGUGAAAUUGUUGAAAGGGAAGGAUUUAUGACCAGACUUUUUCUGGGGGGAUCAUCCGGUGUUCUCACCGGUGCACUUCCCCCAGUGG